GCUGCAGGUUUGUCACAACUUGUGCGUUUUUACGUGAUAUAGGCGCCUGAUCUAAGAUCAGUCGAUGUGCAUGAGAGUUGAGUCAGACGGUCAAACGCGAGCGGAAGUUGCAACCUCUCCAUCUACUGCCCAUAUGUUACUGGCAUGAAUACCUUGAUAUGAUUCAUUUCUUCAAAGUAAUUCAUGGCAUUACCAGCUCGUCCUUUGCCUUGCACGCCAAGACAACAAGACAUACAAGAUCGUCCACUAACACGAAAGGUGUAAAGUACGAAGUCCCGCGGUGCAAAACAACAACCUACCAAAAAUCAUACUGGAUAAGAACCAUCAGAACAUGGAACACGUUGACGGUAGUACUUGACUUGAGUAUGGAGAACUUCAACACAUUCAAGUCUGUAAUGCGAGAGUACUACCAUACUGCAUUAACGAACACAUACGAUUGUCGUGAUGUACGAACUUUUAAAACGAUUUGCCCGAAAUGCAAUAGAGCAAGGACUUUAACGAACUCGAUGAACUGUUGUUUUUAGUCUCUACGGUUUAAUUGUUAUUUGUG